GCCGCUGUAGCUCAAUAGGUAGAGCGCAUCCUUGGUAAGGAUGAGGUAACCCGGUUCAAUCCCGGUCAGUGGCU
rnacentral:tRNA from 1 species